rnacentral:ncRNA from 1 species
ACAUAAACGUUGAAGAGAUAAGUACCAUAAAAUGCCUUAAAAAGAGAGUCUGUCGUUGGUGAAAGCAGAUAAGGUUGAUUCUGGGAAAAUGGUCUUGGAGUUUUCACGGAUACGAGCAAGCGUCCACUCAUAUGUGCAACGCAGUAAGUUGAAAUCGGGUGUCACCCGUUACCAGACAACGUAUUACCAAAGACUUUCACAGAUGUUCUCGACGAAAGAGUAGCGGCGUACGUUUGGAGGUGUGGGUGCGAGAACCUACAUGAACACCGGGUGGUAACACGUUUUUAACGUCCCGCAA